AAACUCUGGUGGAAGCCCG
rnacentral:snRNA from 1 species